GUUUGAUCCUGGCUCAGAGCGAACGCUGGCGGCGUGCUUAACACAUGCAAGUCGAGUGCGCAGCUUUCUGUAGCAAUACAGGAAGUGGGCGCACGGCGCACGGGUGAGUAACACGUGGGCAAUCUGCCCUCGGAUGGGGGAUAACUCGUCGAAAGGCGAGCUAAUACCGCAUGACAUUCCGAAGACUACGGUCUUUGGAUUCAAAGGCCGCAAGGCCGUCUGAGGAGGAGCCCGCGCCCGAUUAGCUAGUUGGUGAGGUAACGGCUCACCAAGGCAUUGAUCGGUAGCCGGACUGAGAGGUUGGCCGGCCACACUGGAACUGAGACACGGUCCAGACUCCUACGGGAGGCAGCAGUGGGGAAUCUUGCGCAAUGGGCGAAAGCCUGACGCAGCAACGCCGCGUGGGGGAUGAAGCUUCUCGGAGUGUAAA
rnacentral:rRNA from 1 species